UACGAAGGGGGGCUAGCGUUGCUCGGAAUCACUGGGCGUAAAGGGCGCGUAGGCGGCUUACAUAGGUCAGGCGUGAAAUUCCUGGGCUCAACCUGGGGGCUGCGUUUGAUACGUGUAGGCUUGAGUUCGGAAGAGGGUCGUGGAAUUCCCAGUGUAGAGGUGAAAUUCGUAGAUAUUGGGAAGAACACCGGUGGCGAAGGCAGGUCUCUGGGCCGAUACUGACGCUGAGGAGCGAAAGCGUGGGGAGCGAACAGG
rnacentral:rRNA from 1 species